CCUACGGGUGGCAGCAGUGGGGAAUAUUGGACAAUGGGGGCAACCCUGAUCCAGCCAUGCCGCGUGUGUGAAGAAGGCCCUCGGGUUGUAAAGCACUUUCAGUGAGGAAGAACGCCUGGUGGUUAAUACCCAUCAGGAAAGACAUCACUCACAGAAGAAGCACCGGCUAACUCCGUGCCAGCAGCCGCGGUAAUACGGAGGGUGCGAGCGUUAAUCGGAAUUACUGGGCGUAAAGCGCGCGUAGGUGGCUUGAUAAGCCGGUUGUGAAAGCCCCGGGCUCAACCUGGGAACGGCAUCCGGAACUGUCAAGCUAGAGUGCAGGAGAGGAAGGUAGAAUUCCCGGUGUAGCGGUGAAAUGCGUAGAGAUCGGGAGGAAUACCAGUGGUGAAGGCGGCCUUCUGGACUGACACUGACACUGAGGUGCGAAAGCGUGGGUAGCAAACAGGAUUAGAUACCCCUGUAGUC
rnacentral:rRNA from 1 species